rnacentral:tRNA from 1 species
GGAUUGUAGCUCAGUGGUUGAGCACUUGCCUCGCACAUGUGAGGCACUGAGUUCGAUCCUCAGCACCA